GAAAAUGGACUGGACUAUUAAAGAGUGUGCCCCACAACUGCCACUCACUGAAAUACGAUUAAAGGUUACCAAAACUGGACGACUUGGGCGAAUGAGAAAACGAUUCAGAGGUUUUUGGAGGAAUUUGUGCUCAUGCACUCACAGCAGUGACAUAGAGCAUGAAA